GGCCAGCCCCCGGUCCAGCGCCACGAGCUCCUAGGGCCAGAGUGCGCACAGCCCAGGAGGUGGCAGGAGUCAUCCGUUCUGGAAACAGCCAGAGGUACAACCUCGUGUCCAGGCACCGGCCGAGUUGGGACUCAGGGUCAAAGCCAAGCUGAGGCAACGUCGAGAUGGCGCGUAACAGCCCUCAGCCUGCACCUGCCACACUGCGGAGGCCCCACAGGGACAAUCCGGGAGGGUGGGGUGGUGCCUGCCUGGCAGCUGCGGGGGCUGGGGAGGGAAGGGCUACUCCACCCUGGAGGCCCAGCUCACACCAACCUCCUAGCCCCUGACGUCCCACCAGGCAGCUUCACAAGGUUACAGGUCGGUUCCUUCUCCACUGGAUUCCUCCCACAUCGGGUGACCUGACCACACACACGGCAGGUGCCCAGCGGUGGUCCCAGCCCCAACAUCUCAAGAGCAGGACACCCGAGUGGAGAUACUAGGUCACAGGAAUGUCUCCACACAGACAUUCAGGCAGGUUCGAGGGAAGAAGACAGCUUCCCGGCCACUCUCCCACCACGCCCACACCUGGUGGGCUCCUCUCCUCAACCUGGGCCCACAUUCUCUCCCAGGUUACUCACAUCACUCAGUCAUCCCUCACAUCACUCACAUCGCCCCAUGACAUCCGCCUCUGAGCUGCCAGCCUCCCUCCCCAGCCCCUUUCUUCCUUCCCUCCCUCCCUCCCUCCUUUCUUUUUUUUGAAACAGGUCACCCAGGCUGGAGUUCAGUGGCACAAUCUUGACUCACUGCAGCCUCCGCCUCUGGGGCUCAAGCCUUCCAGGCUCAAGCAAUCCUCAGCCUCAGCCUCCCAAGUAGUUGGAAACGUAACUGGGCACCACCAUGCCCAGCUAUUUUUUUUUUUUUUUCAGUAGAGAUGAGGUCUCACUACAUUACCCAGGCUGGUCUCAGACUCCUGGUCUCAAGCAAUCUUCUCACCUUGGCCUCCCAAAGUGCUAGGAUUACAGGUGUGAGCCACUGCGCCCGACUUCCCCAGCCCCUUUCUGACCCACAGCCUGGGAUCCAGCCUGGACUACCUGGAACACAUACCCAGCCCCCCUGGAACCCCAGCUCCACCGCCAACAUGCCCCACGAGCCCCUUCCCCACAUCUGCUCCCACCCCAGACCAGCCCUCCACGCAGGCCCCACGCACGUGCGCAGCCUGGCCGGUAAGGCCAUCAGACCCAGCCGGUAAGGCCAUCAGACCCAGCACUGGCCCGCCGUGUGACCUGGCAAGGGACUAACCUCCACCUCGCCUCCGUUUCUUCACCUGCAACGAGGAGACCGUGACCUCCCAGCACUCCUCACACUGCACUGCAAUAGCUGACACCAACUAUGAGCUCCUGGAGGGCAGGGGCUGGCAUCUCUACCUCCUCAGCCCCGGGGCCUGGCACGAAGGUGAGCUGAGUGCACACAGGAACUGACCAGGGGACAGGUCAUGCAAAGCUCCGUCCAGAAAGCUCUGGGCCUUGCCAGGGAUCCGUGUGGUUCCCCAAGCCCACCCUGGGUCUCUGCAGCCGAUUGGCUGCCUUUGUGCUGAUGACCCUGAGCUGAAGGUCAGCAGUGUGCUGGGGUGAACGGAAGGGGCUCAGCACCGCACAAGAUAGCUGCUCCUUCUUUCUUUGGAAGAAGAAAAGCCACACGCAGGCCUCAAGACAGCAAGAGAAAAGGAGGCCUCAAUGGAGAUGUUCCGCUUGCCAGACUCUGAGCAAGGCAGAUGUUCCAAGAUGCCGUGCGGUGUCUGGUCCAAUCCUCCGAUCCCAGCAACUGCAGCCAAGUCCAUUCCUGCCAGACAGCCUUGGAGAUGCAAGAGAGCCGAAGCAGGCCCCUCGGGGCAGAAGAAUUAAGUGACUUUUUCCGGGAAUUUAGGAAGCUUCAGUCGCUGAAUGAAAAAAUCCAUCUUUGUAAUGAGGGGCAAACACUCGUCUUCCACGUCUGAAUUAGGUCAAGAGGAGAAAGGACAUUGUGAGGCCAAUUUGCAGGCGACUGAGAUGAAAUGGCUCAAGGAGGCUGCUGCUUCUACAGCUCCAGCAAUGGACGGGCACUGAGGAUUAGCUUUGGAAAGGGAGUAGGGGACAGGGCCGUGGAGGACUUUCACCGCACACCCAUUUGGGAGGGAGGCUCUGCAAAAAACUGACUUCUCCUAAGCCUUAUGCUUGUGGGGAUGUGAAAUGGUGCAGCUGCCACGGAAAGCAGGGUGGAGGCUCCUCAAACAGGUAAACACAGAACUGCCGUAUGAUUCAGCAAUUCCACUGCUGGGUAUAGACCCAAGAGAAUCGAAGGCAGGGUUGCAGAGGGGUUUGCACGCUCGUGCCCACUGCAGCAUUGUUCACAAUAGCUGCAACAUGGAAGCAACCCAAAUAUCCAUCACAGGUGAGUGGAUACACAAAGUGGGGUAUGCACAUACAGUGAAAUUUUCCUCGCCUUAAAAAGGAUGGAAAUUCCUACACAUGCUACAUCAUGGAUGAACCUUGAAAGCAUUAUGCAAAGGGCACCUGGUUAAACUGCAGCUUCUAGUUUGGGAGGUCUGUGGGGGCCUGAGAUUCUGCAUUUCUAAUGAACAUCCAGGUGAGGUCCUCGGCCCACACUUUGAGUAGCAGAGACCCCAUCAGCACCUGAAUUCUCUCCUAGCCCUAAUGCCUCCACCUCCAGGAGCAGCUCUCUGUAAACUGGAUGGGGCCAGGACCCCCACAGCUUCCCAAGGCAGAAGGAGAAUACUUCUCAGAGGUUAGCAGACUCUCUCUAGGCAGCUGCUGCAGGCAGGUCACAAAUCGCCACCAUCUCUAAGACUGGAGGACUGGCUGCUGGGAAUAAAGCAGUGAUGGAGGCUGGCUGUGGUGGCUCAAGCCUGUAAUCCCAGCACUUUGAGAGGCCGAGGCAGGAGGAUCAUUUGAGCCAGGAGUUUGAGACCAGCCUGGGCAACAUAGCAGACCCUGUCUCUACAAAAAAU
rnacentral:lncRNA from 10 species